UUUAAACAGAAGCCUCCAGGAGACAUACAAUCAACACUCCACUCAGACAAUGCCCAGACCUCCAGAAAUCAUGUGUCAAGCUUGGAUUGCCUUAGAGAGAUGCAAUUUUAAAACAGCUUUCAUCCUCUUUUCUCUCAUAUUGUCACACUAUCAGUUCUGACUUCUGGCUCCUUUCCUCGCAAGAAGCUCACCCAGCUGGAACUCUUAUGGGACCUUGGCACCAGAGACCACCAAUUCCUCUUUGAAGUUUUCUAACAGCAUCAUUGGUAUUUCUGACUUGGCUUUCUUGUAUUUCUCUCACGUUAACAAAACUGGUUGAGCAUCUACCACGGGCUACAUGCUGAGCUACAGGUGCUGUUGAUGAAACUGCCAAAGGAGCUGAAUAUGACUGACAUCUUUGGAAGGAUGAAACUUAGCAUGCCCAUACAGUUGUGUCCAAAUGCUGUCCUUAUCUCCCAAUGGAAAGUGGACCAUUUCACAGAAGGAAAAUGAAAUAUUAACGUGGCAAUAAGAUUUCUGGUUCCAGUCUGAUUAUUGGUCUUCCAAGAGUGUUAUAGGAUGUAUAGCCUGAGUCUCUGAAGCUUUGUUCUGAAGCAUGCUAUCAAUAUGAACAAAUUGGUAUGGAAGGAAGCCAUAAAUUAUACUAAAAUCUAGUUCAUCAGAGGAAAAUAUUGUUAAAUACAUUUUCAUUCCCAGAACUGUUCAUAUUGAAGAAUAAAACAUACAGUGGGAAAGAGACGAAGAGAAAAUACGCCUGUUUUUAUGACUUGUUGAUAUCUAUGGGGUUUUUCCUUAAGCCUCACAACAAUUUCCAGCAUUGCCAGCAGCAUUCAGUACAUUCAGAACAGGAUCAUUUCACCCGCAGCUGAACUAGCGCCAUGCCUGGGACAGACAGAGAAUGGCCUUCCAGCAGACAUGCCAAGGAGCAAGCCAGGGUUAGUGAGUGAAGAGGAGGGCAGGCCCAUUUGAAGCAACACAGUUUAUUGGUCCAUGCCCAACAGAUUCAUCCAAGAAUGGCUGAAGAUCUGUGUAAUGUUGAGCAAGUAAUCUAAUCACCCCACAGAAGAGUUGUGACUUGAAUUAUCCCAGAGUCGGCCCACCUGUUUUCAUAAAGAUCAGUGUAACUUUGACUGGAGGCCAGUUUCAAUCCACUGAAGCACAUAUUCCAAAUUUUCAAUCUGGUUUUCUUGAGUAGUGACUGAGUGCCAAAAAUGAAGCAAUGACACAACAUCACCACCAAGACACUCCCCAGCACACACACACACACGCCAGAGUCCACCACCAAGACACUCCCCAGCACGCACACACACGCCAGAGUCCAGGCCAUAUUUGGGUGGCUUGCAAGCUUCUUCCUCCCUAGUAUUUACUCUCAAAACAAUGGCUUUUUUUUUCUUCCAAACAAAUUUCUUAUAUCUUUAACCAAUUCUCAUAAAAUUUUUGUCUAAUACACUAGUUAGUGUAUUCCAGACCCUAAAAGAUAACAUAAUGAAACUGUUUGGGUGAGGGAGAAGGGACAAGAUGGAGGAAGGUAAACAAGAAGGCACCGCCCCUGUUGCUUCCCGGUUCUUCCUCACCAACUUUCCCGCGCAGGAAAAUGCAGCCUGCGCCCGGGAAGAUGCAGAUCAACAGAGCAUGCCCCAGGUGACAUCAAUCCAAAGAGAUCGAAACUUACCCGGCCACGCCUAUGGAGACGCCCCUAUCACGCCCUUAUCCCGCCCACUGUCCUCCCCCUUCCAGUACCAAUGCAUAAAAGUCCGCUGCCGGCAGGAGCCCGUGUGACUUCUUCGGCCUCCGCAUUCGUGGAGCGGGCAACCUAACCAGGGCGCCUGGGAGACUUCCCUGGACCCCCACACCUGAGGACCAGAGAACCUCGCCCAAGAGUGUGUGCAUAUUUGCAAUAAAGGGCUGCCGCUUUCUUAUGUACUUUGGCCUCAUGUUUAAUUACUUAGCUCUCCUAAAUUAAGUUACAUUAAAUUAAAUUAAGACAAACUAUCUAUGACUAAAAGGUAAUCAUAUCUUCUAGUUAUCCUUUUUUGCUUCCUUUUAAACUUAAUUUUGAUACAUUUGGGAGUGAAAUGAUGACAAUAAAUGCAAAGUAAUUAUUGAAGAAACAAUAAUUUUGUAUUAGCUUACUGGGGGAAAAAAAAAGAUAACCAAAUAUAUUUUGGCAGCCCCAAACAAGUCACAUGUGUAAUGCAGUGGGAGAGCAGUGCCCUGAAGGAAAAGGUGGCCUGCUGGACUGCCAAGAGAACAGACGUCCACUGCAAGUAAUAUGAGCUCUAAGUCUGGACGAGGCCCAUGUCUGCUAUGAGACUUGGGGCAAUUCACUUAAUCAGAGCCUUAAUCAGCUACGGACUAACAAUAUCCAUACCUGCUACUUAUUUUGUAAAUCUCCUUUCUAAAGUUAACUCUAUUCGUUGAUCCAUAAUCCCAUACAUUCUAGACUCUUUUCCUGUUACAGCCAAGUUGUCUAUCAUUGACAGAGAUAUUCACCUGGUGGUUUUGGCUUCUCUAAUCCUCCUGAUGAGAACACCUCCAAGGGAGCUUUCAGUGGCAUUUAAGGUCAUUUGUGCUCUUGGGCCUAGAAGCUGCCUUGGUAGUGGUUUUAGCCCACGUGAGGUAAGUAUUGUAUGCCCAACCUCUUUAUGUAUUACUUCAUUUAAUUGUAUACUAAUCCUUUGUCAUAGGUUAUCAGAGUGUUUGACUAUAAAUUACAGGAAGGGAGAAACAACAAACUCCAAUCAACUAAAACAAUGGGGCAUUUUUUGGCUCACGUAACUGAGAGUCUAGAGAGAAGGCAUCUUCAGGUUGGCUGAUGAAUCCUGUAUGUCUGCCUUGUCUCCAGGUCCCCAGGUUCUGCCUCUGUCCUAACGUCCAGUGUUGGAUUCCUCUUCACAUCAACUCCUCUCUGCAGAGCUGUGGCAAUUCCUUGAACCACAUUGAUUGCUGUAAGGUGGAAGAGGAAUAGAUUGAAUUUUGGGGAGUCAACUACUGUACUACAGUCAGCCGAGCAUGGUAGAGAAUGCCUGUAAUCCCAGCUACUCAGGAGGCUGAGGGAGGAGAAUCGCUUGAACCUGGGAGGCAGAGGCUGCAGUGAGCUGACAUUGUGCCAUUGCACUCCAGCGUGGGCAAC